AUGCGAGGGGGAGGGGCGCGGCCGCAGGGGUCGGUUUGGGGUCCCCGCCGGGCCGACGGCUUUGCGGGGCCCACCGGGGCCUGCCCGCUCCGCACGACGGGCUUGCGGUAGGAGUCAGGCCGCUGCUAUCGCCACCCCUCGAAUAAACAAGUAAAUAAAAGCAAGAUGCUUCCACCUUAGGAUGAGUUACUGCGCGGUCUCGACCCUCCCCACGAAGGGGCAUUUCAUUUUGCCGUCAUAUAAGAUCAUCUGGGAAGAAGAUCACCAAGAGGCACCGAGGAUCUUGUUUAGGCGAAAAAUGAAUGAAGACCAUGGAUUAAGAACUGUUGCUGGAUAUAUAGAAUAUUAAAACGUGGGAAAAGAGGGUGCUAAUAACUCCUGGUUUUCUGGACCAAACAUAAUUUAUGGGCUUUAGACACUUAGUGAAAAAGAACGGCGCACAGUUUAUUCUAAUCGUCCAUCUGAGUCAUUUGGUUCGAUUUGGGUUGCCAAGGAAGCGCUAAGUGGAGCACUUUCUCCAGGCUUUUCGGUUUGCUUGUUUUGGGUAUUUUUGAAUCACAUUAAGUUUUAAGAGAACUUAAAACCCUGAUUCCCACUGGGUUACCAAGUUCUUAUGGCUCUAAAUUGGCUUCCUAUGGUUGUUAAUAAAUCACGGAGGUGAUUGUCAACAAGGAUAGAUACAUCCUUACUUUACCUUUCCACACAACUGUAUUUCAGUGUCUAUUUCUACAUGUCUACACUCUUACCCACAUACCCCAAGGUAGUUUCUUCUUUUUGGAUACAUUGUGUUUAUUUUUCAGAGACGUGGGUUUAAGGGAGUGAUAAAUCAGUAUGUAUGUAUGUUGCAAAUUUAAAAUAUUGUUACAUAACACCAAUACAGUUUCAUUCUUAAACAUAAAAUUUAGGAAGAAUUAAAACGUGAUAGAAUGUAAAUAAAACACAUAGAAUGCUUACACAUUGGGAAGAAGCUGUAGUAACUUUAAUAUUGCAACCUGAUGGAUUGCAAACGUAAAGUGCUGCAAAUAAGCAUUUUACUCGGUAGAUUUUUCAGAUAAAAUAAGAAAUGGAAUCUGAAAUAUGAUGUUUACUCCUUGAGUUGCUGGGAAGUGCAAAA